rnacentral:misc_RNA from 1 species
AAGUCGUAACAAGGUUUCCGUAGGUGAACCUGCGGAAGGAUCAUUAACGCAUUCUCUGGCGGGUGCCGGCGCGCCCUGCUCCGGCCUUUGGGCCGUGCAGCGGGCGGGCGGUCCCGUCCAACCUUCACAAACCCACCGUGCACUUUCACGGCAGAGGGCCCCCGGUGCGAGAGUGCCGUCGGCCCGAAGCCGCUUCACAAAACCCCAACUCACGCAUGAAACCUCAGCGGCCCUAGCGUCGCCUAGUAAACAGAACAACUUUCAACAACGGAUCUCUUGGCUCUC